rnacentral:lncRNA from 1 species
AGCACAUCCUUUGUACUCAUUUAGAAACGUAACUCUGAAUUUCUCUGUCUCUGCAAAGGGGUAAUUCCUGGGUGUUCUUCAGUGGUGAGUGAAGGCAUUUUUGCACAUGCUAUCGGAUGAACUGAGUCUAGAAUUUUGGUGAGACAUAUUUGAUACCGAAAAAAGUGAACCCCAGGAGAGGGCUCCAAGCUUCAGCUCUUGUCUGAGACUGUCCUGCACUGUGGCUGUAUGAUUACCAUAGCCCUUGACUUCUGAAUGGCAAAUGGCACCUGAAAGAGAAAUCACUAAGUCACAGGGUCGGCUCCAUCCUACUCCUCUAUACUAUACAGAUGUCAGUCACCUUUUGUCCGUGACCUUGUGCCUCAGAUGGAGCUUUAAACGUCGUUGACUUUCUGCUUGCUUCUCUGCUUACUGAGAGAAUGUUGACUCUUCAGCCUUCUGCAGUGUUUGCCCCAAAACUGAUUGCUGGAUUCCUCACCUGUGAUAAAGCCACAAUGUAAGGUUCCAGGUGGCCACACUUAUUUGGAGACACCAUUUAACACGGUUCUGCUUCUACUUCCAUGAGAACCUAGUGAAGAAGACACAGCCAGAGCUUUGAUCAAAGAUUCCAAAUGCAAAUACAACUAACCACCCAACUGGUCCCAUCAGCCAAUGUAUCUCUUUGUUACCUCAAGGGAGAUUGAUUUACGCUUUCAUCAAUAAAUCUUCAUAUUUUCAA